CCGCCCGUCACACCAUGGGAGUCGUUUGCUCCAGAAGUACCUGAGCCAACUCGCCAACGAAAGAAGGGGAGAGGCAGGGUCCCAAGGAGUGAACGGUAACUGGGGUG
rnacentral:rRNA from 1 species